UACGUAGGGGGCAAGCGUUGUCCGGAUUUAUUGGGCGUAAAGAGCGUGUAGGCGGCCAUACAGGUCCGUUGUGAAAACUCGAGGCUCAACCUCGAGACGUCGAUGGAAACCGUAUGGCUAGAGUCCGGAAGAGGAGAGUGGAAUUCCUGGUGUAGCGGUGAAAUGCGCAGAUAUCAGGAAGAACACCAAUGGCGAAAGCAGCUCUCUGGGACGGUACUGACGCUGAGACGCGAAAGCGUGGGGAGCGAACAGG
rnacentral:rRNA from 1 species